GUUUGUCUUGGAUUGACAAGCAAUGUUUUGUCAAGAGCACGAUACUGGUCGUCUUAGCUAUUCAAUCAGUUGCCCCCCCUACAGUUUGCUCUCAUUUGUUUUCCCAACUUCUUCACUUCUGCAUGCACUAUUGACCAUCAGAUCAAGAAAAGAAAUAUGUUGGCUAGUUUGGUCAUCUGUGCUAUCAAAUUGGGCAAAACAACACAUAAUUUGUUCCCAUGCCAAAAUGCCAGCAGUAAUUAGGGCUAUACCAUUCAAAAAGUCUCUGGUACCGACUCCAAACUCUUCUACCAAUGUGCACCAUCCAAAAGUGCUCCGUUAUUCAGCAACUGUAGGGCUGUCUCCAAGAAGGGAUGCUGAAACUGAACUGGAAGACAAGAAGUAUGAAUUGCUUAGAGUCAUCCAGGACACUCAACGUGGACUUGUGACAACUGCUGACCAGCGCUCUUCAAUUGAGGAAGCUCUAGUAAGCGUGGAAGCUUUUGAUGCAGGUGAAGCCAUUGACUUAGGUGAGUUGGAUGGGACAUGGCGUCUGCAAUACACAUCUGCUCCUGAUGUCCUCAUUCUUUUUGAGUCAGCUUCAAGGCUUCCCUUCUUUCAGGUCGGCCAGGUUUUUCAAAAAUUUGAAUGCCAGGAUGAAUCCAAUGGAGGAGUAGUACGUAAUAUUGUGAAGUGGAGUAUUCCAAGUUUGUUGGAGGAGCAAGAAGGUGCAACUUUGCUUGUCUCUGCCAAAUUCUCUGUUGUUUCGUCGCGCAACAUUUAUCUUCAGUUUGAAGAGAUAGCUCUUAACAAGAUAAAUAUUAGUGAAGAAUUGCAAGCUCUGAUAGCUCCAGCAAUACUACCAAGGUCAUUUAUUAGCUUACAGAAGUUGCAUGAUGAAUAACGCAGAUCUUACAGUUCAUCCGAGCUUUCAAAGCUGAAUUUCCUGUGAGAAACCCAGGGAGGAAUUCUGUGGGAGGUCUGUAUUACCUAUCGUAUCUGGACAGAUAUAUGCUUUUAGGUCGUGCUGUUGGAGGCGGUGGAGUUUUUGUAUUCACUAGAGCUCAAGCAAUUGUUUUAUAAGAAGUUGAAAUCACGAGCUAAGUGGUUGUGGUUUGUCCAUCCUUUUUGUAUUGUUCUCGUCGAUUUUGUGAGUUACUUCACCUUUUUUUUUUUAAGUGACAAACUCUAUAGACGAGGGAGGAAUUUGGGCGAUCUUUAGUUGAAAUUCUCCUUACAGAACGGUUUUGUUUGAGCUUUUUCUCUAAUUGUUUGAAUACAUAAAAUACAAUUUGGUUC